rnacentral:rRNA from 1 species
GACGAACGCUGGCGGCGCGCCUAACACAUGCAAGUCGAACGAGAGAGAGGAAGCUUGCUUCCUUAAUCGAGUGGCGAACGGGUGAGUAACGCGUGAGGAACCUGCCUCAAAGAGGGGGACAACAGUUGGAAACGACUGCUAAUACCGCAUAAGCCCACAGCUCGGCAUCGAGCAGAGGGAAAAGGAGUGAUCCGCUUUGAGAUGGCCUCGCGUCCGAUUAGCUAGUUGGUGAGGUAACGGCUCACCAAGGCAACGAUCGGUAGCCGACCUGAGAGGGUGAACGGCCACAAUGGGACUGAGACACGGCCCAU